GCGUUCUGUAAGCCGUUGAAGGUGUGCUGUGAGGCAUGCUGGAGGUAUCAGAAGUGCGAAUGCUGACAUAAGUAACGAUAAAGCGGGUGAAAAGCCCGCUCGCCGGAAGACCAAGGGUUCCUGUCCAACGUUAAUCGGGGCAGGGUGAGUCGACCCCUAAGGCGAGGCCGAAAGGCGUAGUCGAUGGGAAACAGGUUAAUAUUCCUGUACUUGGUGUUACUGCGAAGGGGGGACGGAGAAGGCUAUGUCAGCCGGGCGACGGUUGUCCCGGUUUAAGCAUGUAGGCGGA
rnacentral:rRNA from 2 species